rnacentral:rRNA from 1 species
CCUGGCUCAGAACGAACGCUGGCGGCAGGCCUAACACAUGCAAGUCGAACGAACCUUUUAGGUGAGUGGCGCACGGGUGCGUAACACGUGGGAAUAUACCCUUCAGUGCGGAAUAACGUAGAGAAAUUUACGCUAAUACCGCAUAAUGACUCCGGUCCAAAGAUUUAUCGCUGAAGGAUUAGCCCGCGCCUGAUUAGGUAGUUGGUGAGGUAAGAGCUCCCCAAGCCGACGAUCAGUAGCUGGUUUGAGAGGAUGACCAGCCACACUGGAACUGAGACACGGUCCAGACUCCUACGGGAGGCAGCAGUGAGGAAUAUUGCACAAUGGAGGAAACUCUGAUGCAGCCAUGCCGCGUGAGUGAAGAAGGCCUUCGGGUUGUAAAACUCUUUCAGAGGUGAAGAUGAUGACGGUAACCUCAGAAGAAGCUCCGGCUAACUUCGUGCCAGCAGCCGCGGUAAUACGAGGGGAGCGAGCGUUGUUCGGAAUCACUGGGCUUAAAGCGUACGUAGGUGGAUGUUCAAGUCAGAAGUGAAAGCCCAGGGCUCAACCCUGGAAUUGCUUCUGAAACUGAAGAUCUAGAGUCCCGGAGAGGUUAGCAGAAUUCCUAGUGUAGAGGUGAAAUUCGCAGAUAUUAGGAGGAAUACCAGUGGCGAAGGCGCCUAACUGGACGGGAACUGACGCUGAGGUACGAAAGCGUGGGGAGCAAACAGGAUUAGAUACCCUGGUAGUCCACGCCGUAAACGAUGUAUGCUAGUUGUUGGAAUCCAUAGGGUUUCAGUGACGCAGCUAACGCGAUAAGCAUACCCUGGGGAGUACGAUCGCAAGAUUAAAACUCAAAGGAAUUGACGGGGACCCGCACAAGCGGUGGAGCAUGUUGUUUAAUUCGAAGCAACGCGAAGAACCUUACCUACACUUGACAUACUCGUCGGGAUUUCCAGAGAUGGAUUUCUUCGGUUCGGCCGGACGAGAUACAGGUGCUGCAUGGCUGUCGUCAGCUCGUGUCGUGAGAUGUUAGGUUAAGUCCUGCAACGAGCGCAACCCUUAUCGUAUGUUGCCAUCAUUAAGUUUGGGAACUCAUGCGAGACUGCCGGUGUUAAGCCGGAGGAAGGCGGGGACGACGUCAAGUCAUCAUGGCCCUUACGUGUAGGGCUACAAACGUGCUACAAUGGCUACUACAGUGGGCAGCAAACCGGCGACGGUGAGCGAAUCCCCAAAAGUAGUCUCAGUUCGGAUUGUUCUCUGCAACUCGAGAACAUGAAGUCGGAAUCGCUAGUAAUCGUGGAUCAGCAUGCCACGGUGAAUACGUUCCCGGGUCUUGUACACACCGCCCGUCACAUCAUGGGAGUUGAUUCUGCCCGAAGGCCGUGCGCUAACCAGUUUAGCAGCGGACCACGGUAGGAUCAGCGACUGGGGUGAAGUCGUAACA